GAUGAACGCUGGCGGCGUGCCUAAUACAUGCAAGUCGAGCGAACAGACGAGGAGCUUGCUCCUUUGACGUUAGCGGCGGACGGGUGAGUAACACGUGGAUAACCUACCUAUAAGACUGGGAUAACUUCGGGAAACCGGAGCUAAUACCGGAUAACAUGUUGAACCGCAUGGUUCAACAGUGAAAGACGGUCUUGCUGUCACUUAUAGAUGGAUCCGCGCCGCAUUAGCUAGUUGGUAAGGUAACGGCUUACCAAGGCAACGAUGCGUAGCCGACCUGAGAGGGUGAUCGGCCACACUGGAACGGAGACACGGUCCAGACUCCUACGGGAGGCAGCAGUAGGGAAUCUUCCGCAAUGGGGGAAAGCCUGACGGAGCAACGCCGCGUGAGUGAAGAAGGUCUUCGGAUCGUAAAACUCUGUUAUUAGGGAAGAACAAAUGUGUAAGUAACUAUGCACGUCUUGACGGUACCUAAUCAGAAAGCCACGGCUAACUACGUG
rnacentral:rRNA from 1 species